rnacentral:lncRNA from 1 species
UUUAUGACACUAUACUAUUGAAAGUAAAAAUAAAAUCCUAUUUCUGGCCAUAGACCUUUGUAUACCAGCAAUCAUAAAAAUAUCAUAUGGUAUUUUUAUAAUUAUUGAAAGCAAGAUUUGAACCUGUGUGACAGAGGUUUGAACUCAAAGUAAAGUGACAGGCUGAAGUGCUGCUGAAUCUUCUCACCUCAGUGGGGGAGGGGCCCCAGGAGGUCUGGAAUUUGGAGAAGCCAGAAGGUUCUGACUGAGAGGCAGUUAUCUCUCUCAAUCUUUAGAAGCCUAGGAGGAAGGGAGGUCUGGUCAAAACUUUCUCCUGAGGAGAUAUUCACCUUUUUCCUCUCCUGGAGACAGGACAUCCUCCCCCUCCACCAAUUCCCAACUGAAGUGAUAGCUGAAGAAGACAUUGAGCCUCUGUUAAACUUACCUCACAGCUCCUGGUGCCUUGGAUCUGAACUGUGCCAGUUGGGUCAAGACCAGGGCAAGAUAAAACAGGAUGCCAUUGAAAAGUCUUUAGGAAGGGAAUGA